rnacentral:rRNA from 1 species
CAGUCGCCGCGGUAAUGCGUAGGUGGCAAGCGUUGUCCGGAAUUAUUGGGCGUAAAGGGCUCGCAGGCGGUUUCUUGAGUCUGAUGUGAAAGCCCCCGGCUCAACCGGGGAGGGUCAUUGGAAACUGGGAAACUUGAGUGCAGAGGAGGAGAGUGGAAUUCCAUGUGUAGCGGUGAAAUGCGUAGAUAUAUGGAGGAACACCGGUGGCGAAAGCGGCUCUCUGGUCUGUAACUGACGCUGAGGCUCGAAAGCGUGGGGAGCGAACAGGAUUAGAUACCCCUGUAGUCCAUGUCUCUUAUAA